AGGAUAAACGCUGGCGGCGUGCCUAAUGCAUGCAAGUCGCACGGAGUGGCACUUCGGUGCCAUUGAGUGGCGAACGGGUGAGGAACGCGUGGACAACCUACCCCGGCGUGGGGGAUACCCGCCAGAAAUGGCGGCUAAUACCGCGUACGGUUGCUGGACGGCGGGUCUGGCAAAGAAAGCAGUAAUGCGCGCUGGGAGGGGUCUGCGGCCGAUUAGCUAGUUGGCGGGGUAGUGGCCCACCAAGGCGAUGAUCGGUAGCUGGUCUGAGAGGAUGAUCAGCCACACGGGGACUGAGACACGGCCCCGACUCCUACGGGAGGCAGCAGCAAGGAAUUUUCCGCAAUGGGGGCAACCCUGACGGAGCAACGCCGCGUGACGGAUGACGCCUCGUUGGGUGUAAACGUCUUUGCCGGGAAGAGAACGGACGGUACCCGGCGAAUCGAGGACCGGCUAACUACGUGCCAGCAGCCGC
rnacentral:rRNA from 1 species